rnacentral:lncRNA from 1 species
UGAUUGACAUCUCUUUUCACCUCUUGUUGAAAGAAGCAUUAAUUUUGACGUUUCGCGGUGUAUUUUUCAAAUCGAGGAAGAGGAAGAGAGAAUAUUAACGUUGGAUGCGAGAUACAAAAGAAUAAGAAGAAGAAGAACAUACAGAAGAAGAAGAAGAAGAAGAAGAGGGAAUAUUUCCACAGCUCCACAAGCUCUUUUCGCGAUUGACAUUUCAAGAUCCAGAGAAGAGGGUCCUGUACAGCCGUGUUUGAAAACAUUUCCCAGAACUCAGCAUGGUACUAGGAAAAGAGCUUUCAACAGCUCCGGGUAUAAGGACAAUUCAUGGCUUGAAUAUUCUGUAAGUCAAGAUUCGACUUAUUGUUUCGCUUGUAGGCAUUUUUCUCUGCCCAAUACACCUGAAUCUGCCUUCACAUCACAGUCAGGGGGUUGUAACUGGAAAAAGGCGCCGUUUAAAGAUUCUGGGUUGAACCUCCAUUCGAAGGCAGAGCAUCAUAUCAAUGCUAUGUAUGCUUGGAAUCAGCAUAAAAGGGCUAUUGACAGCAACUCAUCAAUGUUAGAUGUCAUAAAUGAGAGUGGAGGAAAACUGUACUUACAUACAUUGUACUUACAUUAUAUGUACUCCUAUUAACUGCCACUCAAAAUAUAUCGCAGAGAGGUCAUCGAGAGUCUGAUGACUCUCACAACAAGAGUAAUAUUUUGACAAUCUUAGAAGAAAUAGCAAAG